UACGUAGGGUGCAAGCGUUAAUCGGGAUUACUGGGCGUAAAGCGUGCGCAGGCGGUUCUAUAAGACAGAUGUGAAAUCCCCGGGCUCAACCUGGGAACUGCAUUUGUGACUGUAGAGCUGGAGUGCGGCAGAGGGGGAUGGAAUUCCGCGUGUAGCAGUGAAAUGCGUAGAUAUGCGGAGGAACACCGAUGGCGAAGGCAAUCCCCUGGGCCUGCACUGACGCUCAUGCACGAAAGCGUGGGGAGCAAACAGG
rnacentral:rRNA from 1 species